GUCACAUGUAAAAAAGAUCCUCAUUCCGUCGAGGCGCAGUAAACAAAAAAAAUUCUAUCCAUAUUCCACAAACAGAAUGUGAAAUACUUCCCUGUUCCAAAAUUCGCCUCAUCCCCCGAAUUAUUAAAUAAGUUUAAAUAUGUGAUGUAAAAACGCCGUUUAUGUAUUUGGUUGGAUAGAUACAAUUUGUGUAGCAUAAAUGUUUUCAGGAAAUCGAAGCAAACAUAUUUAUGCACAAUUGUCUUCGCGCAUACCAAGUGAGAUUCCAAUUUUUGAUCAGUUCAAUAGACCUUCCCUCUUAUGAGUGAAAUUUUAAUCUAGAUAUGCCUGGACAAAAAUUUCA